rfam:Schistosoma rodhaini strain Burundi genome assembly, scaffold: SROB_scaffold0003002
AUCCAGUUGACGAGUCCCAAAUAGGACAAAACACACUUCCUGGAU